AAAGGUGAAGGAGCAGUGUGACCAUCGUUUCCAAUCUUCCUGUUGUCAUUUAUGCCAUCGUGGAAAGAAGGGCUCUAGAGUUCAGAUGGGAGAAAGCAAGCAGUACCUUGGGGAAUAGCUGAUAUUUAAUUGAUUUUGUUGCUUUGCUAAAUUGAUUGUUUUCUUGCUAAGGAAAUGAACAACUGUGCACCAUUCUUUAUUGUUAUCAGCUGAUUGUACUUGUUUUACUGCAUAUUGUGCAGUAGAAUGAAUCUGACCUAAAAUGAAUGCAAACAUUGAAUGCACACACUCACAAUGCAGUGUGCACAAAAGCCUAUGAGAAUUUGCAGAUAACUUGGUCUAGACAAGCAGUUUUUAAGCCAUCAUAAGAUAUGGGGGUUCAACCUCAUGAAAUUAUGCAUGGAACAGACUGGAUUUGUUGGAGAGCAAAGCUGGCAUCUGUGUAGUGGAUAGAUGUAAGCUGGUACCAUGAUCAGUGGAGGCAGAUACUGGUGGCACUGGGGUAGGCAAGCAGCUUGAGGGACAUUCAGGGGGAUUUUCAAGGGACAGCAGGGAUUUUUCAAUGUAAGUAGAGUACGAUUCAUUAACCAGAACAAAACCAAGGAAAGUUUCAGUGCCACAUGUGGGGAAUGAGACUGUGUAUCCCCGGGGACUGCUAUUUGAUAAUUACUAUAAAUUCAUGGGAAAGGGCUCCCUGAAAAGAUAAUGUGUGAGAGUCUGCUGGGAAUCCUAACUUUUAGGAAAUAUAAAUUUUUUUAGUAGAGGAAAGUUGUGUUUCUCAUUUUUCAGAGGGACUUUGUUCCUGUGAAAAUCGUGCUGAGACAACUGCAGUCAUCAGAGAGACAUCAUAACUUUGCUUGUUAAGGUCAUCUUCUGUUGAAAGUGUUUUGUCACGGAGUAGAGAUGGCUACUUUCACUGCCAAAAAGCCACUUAAAAAGAUUGACAAGAGAGAUUAAAGAGGAUACAGAAAUUUUGGAAGACGUUCCUUUAACCUUUUAAUAUGGUGCCAUCUUGGCAGUAGUGAGUCUAUGGCAGGAUUAGUUAGGGACCAAGCAUUUCUGGAAUUGUGUUCCUGGUUUUUUUGCCUCUUUCCAUUUGAGGUAUCAAUUAAGAGCAAUUUCACCAGGGCAGUAAAGCAAGAGAGUAAACAGUAAAUAAGCAACAAGCAAAAUUAAAAACAGUAAUGAGCCUUAUGAAUAUGGUAGUGUUAUAAGGCUUGAAAUGCAUUUAUUUUGGAGCUUAGCAUGUUCUGGGAAAACUUGAUGACUUUGUGAAUGUAUUGUCUCAUUUUACAUUGCAGAAAUUCUGUUUAUUGGCCCUGGAGGCUGACAAGGACCCGACACCUGUGCCCAAAUGUUUUCCGAACCUUGGCAGCGACAGGCACGUUCAUUAUGCAGCAGAGUUGUGGAUCCAUGUGUCCUCAAGGCAGGGGAGAGCAGCAGACUUUACCCUUGCAAGGAGAAAGAUGCUACACCCUGUUUCUCCUUGGCAUGCAAUCCUGGAGGCAGCCAAGAAGUUGAGGACCUGACAAGAGCAGGUGGAUCAGCUGGUAGAUAGAGGCACAGCCACUGCAAUGCUGGUAAGUGGCUUUUCCUGGGAGUUAGGGAGCAGGUGGAUGAAGAGGAUUAGUGGCCAAAGCUGCAAUCCAGGGCUCUGCACAGGAUCUCUGUCCUUUGGGGCUCGGGGAGGAAGGACAAAGAACAGGGACCCUGCUGAGCCAUCCCUUGCUGCGUCACUUUGUCCUCACACCCAGCAACUCGUUUGCUUCCCAGGCCCUGGGAACUGCUGCUGUGCUGCUCCUGCACUGCUGAGGGCAUCCACCAAGGCUGCUGCUGCUUGAGGAACACCUCAACCCUACUGGGAGUGUGAUGGCUGUGCUGGCCAGGGCAUGGGUGAGAGGCAGAGUACCUGGCUGCCCAGGGCUGAGACCAGGGUCCAGGCUGGGCCUGGCAGCAGGAGCUUAGACUUGGCUUGCUCAAGGAGGGCUGUGGGCACCAUGAUGACCUCUCCUGCCAUGGGCCUUGGUGGCCAUGCUGCUUCCUGCCUCUUCCUGCUGCCUCCAGUGACAAUUUAGAGCUUGUCAGCCCCAACACUGCCAGCCAGCUGGCAUCAGAGCUGUUGUGUGGCUCCCUGGUGCCUUAAAAGCAGCAGCGGCUCCUGCCACCCUGGGCCAGUCCAGGUUCAGCACCGACCAGGGAAAUAACAGCUGGCACAAAACUCAGCCAGCCUGAAAAAUGCCACAGGAUCAACCAUGUACCAGCCCAGAAUGUUGAAAGCAGCAGCCCCAGCACUGUCAGUCAGUGUCGGGGCUCUCCUGUGGCACAGUUAUACUGGGAAAGAGUUUGAAUCUUUGGUCUCGUGCUCAGCUUUCACCCACAAGCAUUCCCUGUAAUGCUUCCUGCAUCCGCUCUUGCCCCUAUAAAAUGAACAGCCAGUCUCUCUUUUAGGAGAGAAAGGCGGAAGAAUCUCCUCAGGACACACGUGCAAACACCAUGUCCCUGACAGUCCCAGCCCUGUUGGGCAGUGGUGGCUGCUGUAGCCCUGUGCUCGCUCAGUGCUUCCUGCCCAAACUCACUACAAGGGUGGCCUGCGAAUUUCUUGCUGGGUUCUGUGCUUUUGGUUUGUGUGAAGUCAAUGUGCCUGGUUGGAGUGUGGCCUCAUGCCUUAAUUUGUGAGCUCAUUUGUAUGCUCUGGGAAGAUUUUGAGCUGUUGGGCAGGUGGGACUGAGAGCAGGGAAGGCACCUGGUUUUGGAGUCUCGUGUGAUUUUGUUCGUGCAAGGACGCUGAUUCCUUUUUGGCUCAUCCCUGUUCGGUCCAGGUACAUUUGCCUCCAAGAAAGGGAGAAGGCUAAAGGCAGCAUCCAGCAAGUUUUGUCCUGGGCCUCCAUCUGUCUAAUGUUCAGCUGCUGUCGACCCUCAAGUCCUUUUCUGCCAGACAGCUUUCCAGCCUCUCUUCCCCACGACUGGAGUGUUGCCUGGGGUUGUUGUGAGUCGCGGCUGAAUGCCUGACAGGGCAGGUGCAGGAACCAGGCUUGUGCAGGUCUCUCUGUCACUGAUGGCGGGAAAGCUGAUGGGACAUUGAAUGGAUCAUUAAAUCCAAAGCUUUCACUAUUUUUCCUUGAUGAGUUGAGACCCUGUGGUCAACCAAACUACCCCAAAGUACACCUGUAGCUCAAAGUUUCUGGAACAUCUCAGUUACACAAUUUGUCUCCGAGUCCCAAUUCUCAUGCUCAUUCACUCUCUUUCCAUUCUAGCUGUUUAUUGGAGUGCUCUUACCGCAUUUUAUCUCAUCUAAUUCCCUCUCCCAGUCUCUGUAGUAAUCCAGUUUUAAUGUCCUUUUUUUCUCCACAGCAACUAGCCUGAUCUUGGCAUUAUUUCCAAACAUUUAAAGACAAAAGAGGAAGUGACCGAGCCCAUACUGAAGUUCAUGGUAGCAGGACAAAGGUGAUGCUCAUACUGGAACUGGGAAGGAUCUGCCCGGAUCCAAAGAAAAAUAAGUUUACUUAGAUGAUAAUUAAGUUUCAGAACAGGUUCAAAGUUGUGCACUCACCAGAUUUUGGACCUUUUCAAAAUCCAAGUGGACAAAGCCAUGAGAAAUCUGAUCCGAAUUCUGGGCUGACCCUGCUUUGAGCAAGAGACUGGACUAUAGAGCCAACCUGAGAGAUCCCACAACUCUCUGAGGGCAUUGCUGGACCUCUGCUCUACAGCUCUAGUGCAUAUGUGAAGAGUGAUAAAGGUGAUCAGGCUUGUGGAGCAGUUUCUGUGUGAUAAAAGAAGUUUGACAAUCUUCAGCCUGGAGUGGAAUCAACUGACGGAGAAUUUGAUAGAGAUCUACAGGACUGGGAAUGACAUGAAAAGGGUGUUAAGGAAGUUAUGGAACUCCAUUUCAGAGGUCGUUAAGGGUGCUGGAAGUUGACACAGAUUCAAAAGUGAACCAAGGAAGGAGACUCUAUUCAAAGUUAUUGAAUAAAAACGUGCCAACUCUGGGUCAGAAAAUCCCUUAGCCAUAAAUGAGUGGAAGCUGGAAAGUAUAAAUAAGGUACUGUCCAGCCUGGGCACUCGGACUCGCCUCUUGUGCCAGGUGCUUGUUCAGCUGCUUGUUCCAGCCUGUAAAAGAGCCUGAACACAAAUUGGCAGAAUCUGUGCAGCAAGGCUCUGAAAAUCAUCUCCAAUGAUCCAGAAAGCUUCAUAGCAAGCAGAAGAAGUCCUGCUCCUUGUCACUGUGAUUAUGGAGACGCAGGAAGCAGGUAUCCAUGUAUGGCACAGCCUAACGAAGUGAGUAACGAUCCCAUGCUGACUGGCAUAUCUGUCUGGAGAACAAGGAGUGUAGCAGAGCUGAUCCUGCAGCACCCCUGUUAUCUAGGGCACAGACCUUGGAUAUUCAGGGGAAACAUCCAGAGCAGGCUGCUGUGCAUGGAGCUCCUGGGGAGGAUCACCAGGAGGCUUUGAGGAAGCCUUCAGAAAUGAAGCACCAGACAUGGAGAUGUGCAGCCAGAAUGACUGUGCAAGGCAACAAGCUCAAAGCUGGGGCAUCCCUUUUGUAAAUCUUUCCACCCCAAAGGCAUCAUUUUGAGCAGUUACAUGUAUGAAGUGAGAAAAUUACAGAGAUCUAUGGAUCUACCUGCAUCCUGUCCUGGAUACUUCAAAAGCUGCAGUUAAAAGUAUAAACCAAACUUCCUCUGCACUUACAGCAGAACAUACUGGGGCAGCUGCACAACCACAGUUACAGGAGGAGGGAGAAGGUUUCUGUGGCUCUGCCAGUGGCUCAGCAGGAAUGGACUCAGCUGGAUAAUACCUUUGUCUUCUGUGGUGGUGAAUAUAAUAAAAUUGCACUGAAAGGGCAGAAGUCCUGUAGCAGCAACAUUUGGGGGACAUUGGAACUGUGACCAACCCCACUCGCUCUGUUCUCCAACGUCAGCGAAGCAACAGUACCCAAAAUAAUAUUCUCUCAGAUGACUCUGGCUUCAAGGAAUGAAGGUAGGCUGCACAUUUGAUUUUUUUUCUUUUUCCUGCAGCUGCUGUUGCAGGUUUUAAUACCAUUAGAUCCUACUGAUGGAAUGCAUUUUGUCACGGUAUAUUUUCAUUAUUUUUUGUUACCAGUGAGAGCUUUUUGAUAGAAACCCUAAAGGAGGACUCAUGUCUGUAGGGAGACUGAACACAUGGGAUCUGAAUCCUAGUUAACAGUGAAUUCUCUAUUACAAGAAGUAAAAGCUUAUGAAUAUUUUCCUUGGCUCUGAAAGUGGAAGCUGACACUAGCUCGUAUGGGAGAAUUUUAACUAAUGAUUAUUACAAUGCUUAUCUGCUAAUUUGCUUCUCCAUAUUUGGAAUCAGUAUGCUUUAUAUGCGUGUGAAAUUUUUGGAGCUCAUGCUAAAAUUUCAACUAGCCAAAUACUUAUCUGCAUUUCAUUAUUAUUGAAAUAAUUAUAGUAAUAAAUAAUAGUAGACACAAUAACUGGUUUUUUUAUUAGUUCACUGAGCUUAAGUGGAUCAUUGCAUAAGCUGAUCACAUCUUUAUUUUUUUGAUAAAUCUAGAGUAUUGUCAUUUGACACUGAAGACUUUUUAGAAAAAAAAGGCUGUGUGAGUUUAAUGCUGUGCCUUUGAAUAGUUAUCUACGUAUUUCAAAACUAAAUAAGAAAUCUCAAAAACCAUAGACACUCUGUACAUAUUGAUAAGCCAUUUGUAAUCUAUAACAGCAUGUAUACCAGGACUUGAGCUGAUUCAUUUAUCCCAGCUAAUGUAUCUGUGCAAUUUAUUGUGCCACAAGUGAUGCCAAACUUCUUGGGUGAUGUUUGGAGAAAGAACCUUCCCAGCUGUACAACAAGCAUAAGAAAGCUUUCAAAAUUGUGGGAGAAAAUGGCAAACAGGAAAUUCAUAUUGCAGGCUUGAGUGCUGAAUUUCUUAAAUUGUAAAUUAUUAUGAGAUUGGGAUACUGUUAUUUACAAAUAAACUUUGUUUUUAUCAAUUAAUA